rnacentral:rRNA from 1 species
AGUGGAUGGGGAGCAACCUAGUUGUGCGUGUGUAAAGGUAGUGCCAAGAAAAGCGAUGAUCAUGUUGAAAAUCAAUUCCCGGUACCCGAAACCGACACAGGUGGGCAAGUAGAGAAUACUAAGGGGCGCGAGGUAACUCUCUCCAAGGAACUCGGCAAAAUGACCCCGUAACUUAGGGAGAAGGGGUGCCACCGAGUGGUGGUCGCAGUGAAGAGGCCCAGGCGACUGUUUAGCAAAAACAUAGGUCUCUGCAAACUCGAAAGAGGAGGUAUAGGGGCUGACGCCUGCCCAGUGCCGGAAGGUUAAAGAAGUUGGUCAGUUUUAGGAUGAAGCUAGCGACUGAAGCCCCGGUGAACGGCGGCCGUAACUAUAACGGUCCUAAGGUAGCGAAAUUCCUUGUCGGGUAAGUUCCGACCCGCACGAAAGGCGUAACGAUCUGGGCGCUGUCUCGGAGAGAGGCUCGGCGAAAUAGGAUUGUCUGUGAAGAUACGGACUACCUGCAUUUGGACAGAAAGACCCUAUGAAGCUUUACUAUAGCUUGGAAUUGUGUUCGGGCUUCCUGUGCGCAGGAUAGGUGGGAGGCGUAGAAGGUAUUCUUGUGGGGAUACUGGAGCCAACGGUGAGAUACCACUCUCAGGAGGCUAGAAUUCUAACUUAAUUAAGGACAGUUUCAGGUGGGUAGUUUGACUGGGGCGGUCGCCUCCAAAAAGGUAACGGAGGCGUACAAAGGUUCCCUCAGACUGGUUGGAAAUCAGUCGAAGAGUGCAAAGGCAGAAGGGAGCUUGACUGCGAGAAGUACAGUUCGAGCAGGGUGGAAACACGGUCUUAGUGAUCCGACGGUGCUGUGUGGAAGGGCCGUCGCUCAACGGAUAAAAGUUACUCUAGGAUAACAGGCUGAUCUCCCCCAAGAGUUCACAUCGACGGGGAGGUUUGGCACCUCGAUGUCGGCUCAUCGCAACCUGGGGCGGAAGUACGUCCCAAGGGUUGGGCUGUUCGCCCAUUAAAGCGGUACGUGAGCUGGGUUCAGAACGUCGUGAGACAGUUCGGUCCAUAUCCGAUGUAGGCGUGAGAAUAUUGAGAGGAGCCUUCCUUAGUACGAGAGGACCGGGAAGGACGCACCGCUGGUGUACCUGUUAUGGUGCCAAUUGUAAACGCAGGGUAGCCAAGUGCGGAGAGGAUAACCGCUGAAAGCAUCUAAGUGGGAAGCCCACCUCAAGAUGAGUAUUCUGGUGUAAGGUCACGGGAAGACGACCCGUAAAUAGGCACGAGGUGGAAGUGCAGAGAUGUAUGAAGCCGAAGUGUACUAAUAGACCGUCGGCUUGACC